AUGGCACAGGUCUGCACGCGUUCAGAUAACUUCAGAACACUGCUAUUCUAUAGACACCAUCAAUCCUACAGUCAGCUGUGGAGCAGAACCUUGUGGAAAGGGGACGGAGGUCUGGACCAGGACAAGGCCCUCACUUGUGAUGAUUGCUGCAUGCAAAAUCCCGAAGGCUUUUUCUGCUGCAAUCAGCAGCACCACCACGCCGCAGGUGGAGUUCGGCUCUCAGGACGAGGCCAGGAAUCCUGUGGACUGCUGAGGUCACGGGCGAGCUCUCGGCCCAACACUUUCUUCUCACCAUGGCUCCAGGAGUUUUCUUCAGUGGUGGACUUCACUGUGCUUCAAAGUACAUACAAUAUUCUCCUGGUGUUGGUGGUUUCGGUGUAUGUGCUCCGAGCACACAACGGCCUUCGCGCAGGAACCUCCACCUGGAACCACGGCAGGUUUCAUCCAGCAUCUCGAGACAAACAAACCAUCAGAGCCGCUGACUUUCCAGGAAACUUAUCUAAAGGGCUUGAAGUGAGUAUUAAAUGAAGAGAUUAAUUUGACCAUUUCAAACUGAAUGAGAUAUUGCAAACCCUGGAGCCGUGAGAGGAACUCAAAGUUGGAACAAAUGCCAAUAGAGGGAUGUAGCCUUACAACAUCAGCAAAAACCACAGCAACAUCUGACCAAAACGUACUGCUGCGAGAUGAAGAAAAAACGAAAAACGAAGCUGUACCACCAGGAAACGGGGCAUCCCAAUAUACAGUAAAUUCGAAUUAAUACAUAAUUAACGAACAUCGUUUAGAGGAAAGUCAUAAACUGUACCGCCAGGAAAUAGGGCCUCCCAAUAUACAGAAAAUUCUAAUUAAUACGUAAUUAACAAACAAUGUUUAGAGGAAGGUCAGACGCUGUACCCUCAGGAAACAGGGCCUCCCAAUAUACAGAAAAUUCGAAUUAAUACGUAAUUGACGAAC
rnacentral:lncRNA from 1 species